CAGCCGUAGACGGCCGAGCAGUGGAGCGAGGCCGCCUAAAGGAGAACCGAGCUGUCGAUGAGUCCCAGUGGGCCACUUGGAGCGGAAGUGGAGGAGCGGCCGGAAGUAGCCGGAAUCUCUGAAAGACUGACCGAUUGACUCUGACAGGAUCCGGGGCUGAGGGAAGGAGGCGGCGGCCAUGGAGUUGGGCGAGCUGCUCUACAACAAGUCUGAGUACAUCGAGACGGCAUCUGGGAACAAAGUCAGUCGCCAGUCAGUGUUGUGUGGAAGCCAGAACAUCGUUCUCAAUGGCAAGACCAUUGUGAUGAAUGACUGUAUUAUCCGAGGGGAUCUGGCAAAUGUAAGAGUUGGACGUCAUUGUGUUGUGAAAAGUCGUAGUGUCAUAAGGCCACCAUUCAAGAAAUUCAGCAAAGGUGUUGCAUUCUUUCCUUUACAUAUUGGAGACCAUGUCUUUAUUGAGGAAGAUUGUGUGGUCAACGCAGCUCAGAUUGGUUCCUACGUUCAUGUUGGGAAGAACUGUGUGAUUGGGCGCCGAUGUGUGUUGAAGGACUGCUGCAAAAUUCUUGACAACACAGUAUUACCUCCAGAAACUGUGGUUCCACCAUUCACUGUCUUCUCAGGCUGCCCAGGACUCUUCUCAGGGGAGCUCCCGGAGUGCACUCAGGAGCUGAUGAUUGACGUCACCAAGAGCUACUACCAGAAGUUUUUGCCCCUGACACAAGUCUAGCAUCUCUGCCUCAUGUCUUGAAUCUGCUUGAGCUCUAAGAUGAACCUGGGGACAAAGUGAGCCAGUCAGCACCUACAAAGAGCUCUUGUGUCUUUGACAUCUACUACCCUCCUCCUUUUAAAAAAUUUAUUUAGAAUUUCUCAAUCUUCAAGGCUCUAAGCGCUUAAGAAUUCACUAACAGACAGACUAUCUGGAGGAGCUGUCUUCAAAUGCCGUGCUUACACCUUAUCUAUGAACAGUCACUUUGUACCAUUAUCUGUGGAACACAGAAUCAUCUGUUCCCAACGCUCCAGCCCCUUGGUCCUGUGGAUGGCUGGAUCCCGCCUGAAACGGACGUGCAGAGCAGCAGCACCCUUCCGGUGUGGAGGCUAUGUAGCUGGUGCACUGCUCACGGCCAUUCACUGCCCAUGCUGAGCGCCUCUCACACAGGAGCAGUAAGAGCCUGAGGAAGAGUAGGGUCAGAGGAGUCUGGGAGAAUGAGGAAAUAUGAGAGCCCCAGGAACUGAAAAGGCCUGUGAGAGACUGAGCUUCCUGGGAACAGUGGGUCAAUUGGACUGUAAGACCAACAUGAUAAAAAGGCAGCCUUGCAUGUCACUUGGACCACAGCUGUCUGGCCACGCAGCAUGCCUUCACUGCUGCUGAAGAAAAGCAGCUGGCUUGUUUAGAAUCUCAAAUUCCCAGAUCCUAAUUGCCUGGCCCUGACUCUAAGCUGAAACUUGCUACUGUCUGCCUUGAGCUGUUUUAGCCUCACCACGAGCUAUACUAAACUGAAAGCAGACACAGGCUCAAUGACCAGGACUCAGACGUUGGGGCCGUUGGAGAUUAAGGACCCCCUCCGUGGAGCGCUAAACUAUGAAAACGUCCUGGAACCUGGCUGAAAAGGGCUUAUUCUCUAAUGGGACCAUCUAAGAUCAAGCUGCUGAUAGGCCCUUUGUCUCUAAUACAGAGGCUAAUUGCAUUCCUAACUUCUAAUAUUUGCCAAAAGCUCCAAGCUGGGGAAGGGUACAUCGCAAGGACUGUGACCGCUCCUCCUGCUUUUGACAGACCAGACUCAAACCUUCUCUGGGGCUUCUCUCACUGCUGUUGACUUGUUGCAUUCAGCUUUUGGGAUUAGUUGCAGCUUGCAACAGUGGACUGACAGCCUGACUUUACUUCCCUCACUUUUCUCCCAGCACACACAGCUUAGUAAGGUAGGUGGAUUAUUAAAACGUAGCUGUCCCCAGAAAGGUAUUAGACUUGUCUAGGCUGUUCAUUGAAUAAUCAGGACAAAAGGGGUGGAAGAUUAUGUAAACAUAUUUUGAAAUUUUUAAAAAUUCACGGUUUCACCCUUUAUUAGUUUGCUACGGAUACCAUAACAAAGUACCACAAACUGAGUGGCUUACACAAUAGAAACUUAUUUUCCUGCAGUUCUGGAGGCUGGAAGUCCAGGACAAGGUGUCAACAGCUUUGGAUUCUUCUGAGGCCUCUCUGCUUGGCUUGCAGAUGGCUGCCUUCUUACUGUGUCCUUGCAUGGUCCCUCUGUCUGUGUGUCUGUGUCCUAAUCUUCUCUUUUAAUAAGGAUACCACUCAGGUUGGAUUAGGGCCCAUCCUAAGAAUCCCAUUUUAACUUAGUUACCUCUUCAGGGCCUAUCUCCAAAUAUACUUGCAUUUUGAGGUACAGGUGGUUAGGGCUUCAGCAUGAAUUUUUGUGGGGACAUAGUUCAACCCUCCACACAUAAUUACCAAUUUCUGAAUGUCUUUCUGGUUAAGUUGCAUAAAAACGUUUAUCUACUUGAACUCUAGGAUGAUAGUUUAAAAAAACAAAAUAAUGUUGGCCAGGUGCAGUGAUGGACACAUCUGAUCCCAGCACUUCGGGAGGCCAAGGUGGGCAGAGUGCUUGAGCUCAGGAGUUCAAGACCAGCCUGGCAACAUGGUGAAACCCUAUGUCUACAAAAAAUGCAAAAAUUAGCUGGGCAUGAUGGCAUGUGCCUGUAGUUCCAGCUACUUAGGAGGCUGAGGUAGGAGGAUGGCUUGAGCCUAGGAGGUAGAGGUUGCAGUGAGCCAAAAUUGUGCCACCGCACUCCAGCCUGGGCAACAGAGCCAGACUGUGUCUCAAAAAAAAAAAAAAGAGAAAAAGAAAGUUUAUCUACAAAAAUGCUUUUGUGCCUCUUACAUACAACCCUUCCACAGGAAAGCCCUGGCUGAGAGUAAGAGAUGGUUGAAAAAAAUGCAAUGUUACGAUUGCUGAACAGGGGACGACUGUUUUUGUAAUAUUGGAGAAAAUAAUUAAAGCCUGGCACCUGGGGAGGCUUGAUCCCUGGAAGCCUCCUCUUGCUGAAGGAAAAUUCCCAGUGCUGCCUUUCCAUGUGCUAUGAGUGCUUUGAGUUCAGACUGACAACAGAGUGGGUCUAGCUCCCAUGCUUUCCAUGAAGAUCUCCCACAAAUGUCAUCCAUGCUAAUGAGAUGGAUCAACUUCUAUCCUGAACAAGCAAAACUGUUUGGGACUCACUGCCUUCAGGCAGUCCCUUGGAAGCCAAGGACUCCGGGAACUUUUCAGAUGGGACUGGAAACACUAGGGCAGGAGUUCCCCUGGUAGGAGGUCUGUUCACCUGUACGACCUGACUAAUGGAUGUCCUGCUUGAGGUGCCCUAAUAUUGCAAAUUCUUUGUUUACAGGGGUACCACCUGUGCCCCUGGGACUGUGCUUCUGUACAUGACCACGACUCUUAUGAUGUCCCCUCAGCCCUGGAAAGCAUUUGGGUUAGCUUCCGCUUACUGGUCAGAGUUGUACUGUGCCUGAAUUGAUGCCUCAGGUCAGGUUGAAAAAAAAAAAGGUUCAGACAGCAAUUAAGGGCUGGGCACAGUGGCUCAUGCCUGUAAUCCCAGCACUUUGGGAGGUUGAGGUGGGCAGAUCACCUGAGGUCAGGAGUUUGAGACCAGCCUGACCAACAUGGUGAAACCCCAUCUCUAGUAAAAAUACAAAAAUAAAAAAAUUAGCUGGGUGUGGUGGUGUGCACCUGUAGUCCCAGCUACUCGGGAGGCUGAGGCAGGAGAAUCACUUGAAACCAGGAGGUUGAGGUUGCAGUAAGCCAAGAUCACACCACUGCACUCCAGCCUGGGUGACAGAGCAAGACUCCUUCUCAACAACAACAACAACAAAAAAGGAAUUGAGGAAGCCACUUGGCUUUCUAAGUUAGACUUUAUGGUUAAUGGGAUUUAUUUUAGCUGGUUAAGUCCAGGACCCCUACCAGGAAGAACUGAGGUCCAUACUUGAGGUUGGUCUCACCCUUUUGCAUGGGGUCCUACUGAUAAUAAUUUUGCUGUAAAGAAGCCUCAUUAAGGAGAUGGACUGUGUGAAAAGAGAUGAGAAAGCAGGCCUGUUUGCAAGGCUGGCCCUUGGCUGGCAUCUGAGAGCUUGGAUUUCAGGAGGGUUCUCAUUACUCCCUAAAUGAUAAGAGUGGCUCACUGUGCCUAAACUGUACAAACAAUGUAGGUUAUGCCCAACAUCUGCCUUCCUUCUGGGAGUCAGAUUUUCAUAUGCGUUAGGCAGAGGAUGAGGUGAGCAGCUUCCAAUCAGAACCCUGAACACUGAGUCUGUAAUGAGCUUCCCUUGUACACAACAUUGCACAUGGGUUGUCACAACUGAUUGCUGGAGGAAUUGUGUCCUAUGUGACUCUGCUGGGAGAGGACUGUGGGAGGCUUACACCUGGUUUCCCUGGACUUUGUCCAUGCACUUUUUUCCUUUGCUGAUUUUGCAUCCUAGUCUUUCGCUGUAGUAAAUCGUAGCCAUAAGUAUGACUACAGGCUGAGUCUGUGAAUCUCCUAGUACAUCAUCAGACUAGGAGGUGGUGUUGGCACCCCCAGUACAGGGCACAAGAGAGGCUUGCAGGGUGUUUGUCAUGUUCUCUUUCUCGAUCUGGGUGUGGUUUACAGAUUUGUUCAGUUUGUGAAAAUUCACUGAGCUCUAUGUACAGUUAUGAUAUGUACAUUUUUUCUGUAAGUGUAUUAAAUUUCAAUAAAAAGAAUAAUUCACACCAUAGGGGUACAAAAUAA